UAUUUUUAAAGGGCCGCGGUAUACUGACCGUGCGAAGGUAGCAUAAUCAUUAGUCUUUCAAUGGAAGGCUCGUAUGAAUGGUUGGACAAAAAGUAAUCUGUCUCAGUUAUAAUAGUUGAACUUAACUUUUAAGUGAAAAGGCUUAAAUACUUUAAGGGGACGAUAAGACCCUAUAAAACUUAACAAUAAUUUGAUUAAAUUAUAAAUUGUUAGUAUAACUUGAUUUUAAUUAAUGUUUGUUGCGUUGGGGCGACGGGAAUAUAAUUAGUAACUGUUCUUAAAUAUUUUAUUAACAAGUAUAAUUGAAGAAUAAUUGAUCCUUUAUUAAAGAUUAAAAGAUUAAGUUACUUUAGGGAUAACAGCGUAAUCUUCUUUGAGAGUCCUCAUCGACAAGAAGGUUUGCGACCUCGAUGUUGAAUUAAGGUAUCCUUAUAAUGCAG
rnacentral:rRNA from 1 species